GAUGAACGCUGGCGGCGUGCCUAAUACAUGCAAGUCGAGCGAACAGACGAGGAGCUUGCUCCUCUGAUGUUAGCGGCGGACGGGUGAGUAACACGUGGAUAACCUACCUAUAAGACUGGGAUAACUUCGGGAAACCGGAGCUAAUACCGGAUAACAUGUUGAACCGCAUGGUUCAACAGUGAAAGACGGUCUUGCUGUCACUUAUAGAUGGAUCCGCGCCGCAUUAGCUAGUUGGUAAGGUAACGGCUUACCAAGGCAACGAUGCGUAGCCGACCUGAGAGGGUGAUCGGCCACACUGGAACUGAGACACGGUCCAGACUCCUACGGGAGGCAGCAGUAGGGAAUCUUCCGCAAUGGGCGAAAGCCUGACGGAGCAACGCCGCGUGAGUGAAGAAGGUCUUCGGAUCGUAAAACUCUGUUAUUAGGGAAGAACAAGUGUGUAAGUAACUAUGCACGUCUUGACGGUACCUAAUCAGAAAGCCACGGCUAACUACGUG
rnacentral:rRNA from 1 species